rnacentral:lncRNA from 1 species
GUCGGCUCCACUAAAGAGUCCUCCUCCAGAGCAAUCGUUCACUGGAACCUCAAGAACCCCGUAACUCUCUUGUGAGUUCUUGUACUUUGUUAUGAGUUUUGUGAGCACCCUCUGUUGUAUUUUAUAAAAAGAGAAGAAGGAUGAAUAUGUUUGGUGGAGGCCCAGUAUGGUGUGGGGGGAAGGGGGUGCCUCUGUGGGCCCAUGCUGAGGCAUCCAUUUCCCCUAAGGGACCAGCCACGUGAUGGUAUAGUAUAGAAUAGAGCUUAUUUAGGGUAUGGGGAGGGAAGUUGAGAGAGUAGAGACAGAAAGGCAGGGGGGGGGAGGGAGGAGGGGGAGAGAGAGAGAGGGAGAGAGAGGCUGGUUAUGAGCAUGUGGAGAGGGGGAGAGGGGGAUGGGGAGAGAGAAGGAAGAGGGUAAGGGAGAGUGUACUGUAGUCACAAUGGAAGCAUGACAGCUUGCAGGCAGACUUGUUGCUCGAGGAGGAGCCGAGGGUUCUACAGCUUGGUCUGCAGGCAGAGAGGAAGAGACUGCCACACUGGGCCUGGCUUUGAGCACUUUAACAAGGCCACAUCUCCUAAUAAUGCCACUUCCUAUGAGCCAGUGGGGGCCGUUUUCUUUCAACCACCACAGGAUCCUUCUAUCCCUGCCUCCUUUGUGCUAAAAUUACAUGUGUCACCAUGCCUGGAUGCAGUUUUAAAACACCCAUCUUGUUUAUUUGUUUGUUUGUUUGUUUAUUUGUUUAUAACAGCCAUCUUAUUAAUUAUAUUUGUGUGUGUGCACGCACACACAAACACCACACACAGGUGAUGUGCACUCCAUGGUCAGCUUCAGAGAGUCUCCUGUCUCCACUUCCAGGAGUGCUGGAAUCACAAACACGGGCUACAAGUCUGGCUUUAUGUGGGCUCCUCAGAAAUGAACAUCAGUCUGCAGUCACACAGCCUUGCAACACUUCUUUUCUUUCUCUCUCUUCCUUCCUUCCUCCCUUCCUUCCUUUGUUUCUUUCUUUCUGUUUCUCUCUCUCUCUCUCUCUCUCUUCCUUCCUUUCUCUCUCUCUCUUCCUUCCUUUCUCUCUCUCUCUCUCUCUCUCUCUCUCUCUCUCUCUCUCUCUCUCUCUCUUUCUUUCUUUCUUUCUUUCUUUCUUUCUUUCUUUCUUUCUUUCUUUCUUUCUUUUUGAGACAGGGUUCUUCCAGGCUGUCCUGGAACUCACUCUUUAGACCAGGCUGGCCUCGAACUCAGAAAUCUGCUUGUCUCUGCCUCCCAAGUGCUGGGAUUAAAGGCGUGCACCACCACCCCCUGGUCCUCUUUUGGUUUUUCAAAACUGGGUUUCUCUGUAUAGCCUUGGCUGUUCUGGAACUUGCUCAGUACACCAGGCUGGCCUUGAACUCAUAUAUUUGCCUGCCUCUGCCUCCUGAGUGCUGGGACUAAAGAUAUGUGCCACCACACCUAGUUUGCAAUGCUAUUUUUUUAAAAUUUUAUGUGCUAUACAUAGUUAUAUUAAAAAUUUUGUUUUAAAUACAAAGGUGCAAUGACAAGAGAAAAAAAUUGCCAUCCUUUUAUUGCCUUGAGAAGAUUGGAGGAAACCUGCUGAAGGAGGAAAAGGGCCUCCUUCCUCCCUCAAAACUGCCACUGGUGGCUGGGGUCGCCUGUGAUUUGGGCUCUGUUCUGCUGGCAGGGUGGAGCCUGUCAUCUGGCCCGGACAGAAUUAUUGCCUCCAAUUACAUGGUUGAUUAUCAAUUACUUGUGUCCAUGGGAGAGCAUGUGUGCAUGUGUGCAUAAGUGCCUUUGCAGAUCAUUAAAGGUCGUAAUUCUGGAUUACCAUUGAUUAACGAGAGGGAGGCCUGGUACCUCCAGCAGCCGGCAUGGCAGCCCCACAAUUACGUCCCAGCUGAUCGGUAAUUGGUGCAUCACGAGAUGAUUUUUCUCUCAGCUGCCUCCUCCCAUCUUCUCCUGCAGGCUCCGCAAUUAGCACUAUUGCUCAUCUCUUCCCAGCCCAGGCAGAAUUCAGAGGGCUGCUUCCUGGCUAGGAGAGGCUGUGGGGCUGCAUGGAAGACCCUGCUCCCAGGCAGGGUGCCAGAUAGCCGGGUGGGGGGAGCUGGCGCAUGCGCUAUGGUGGGGACAUGGGACUGGCAAGAGCUGUCUGAGAUCCAAAGCUGUCCCCAUUGUCUUGUUCAAGCAAGUAGGACCCUCAAUUCUCCACCCCAGAGCAGGAAUGUGAAAUAAUAGAGACCUGAGGAAGGGAAGUAGCGCUUUGGGGACUCGUCCUCAAACAAUAGUCUGUACUAGUACAGCAGAGGAGG